UACGUAGGGGGCAAGCGUUGUCCGGAAUUAUUGGGCGUAAAGAGCUUGUAGGCGGUUUGUCGCGUCUGCCGUGAAAGCCCAGGGCUUAACCCUGGGUCUGCGGUGGGUACGGGCAGACUAGAGUGUGGUAGGGGAGACUGGAAUUCCUGGUGUAGCGGUGAAAUGCGCAGAUAUCAGGAGGAACACCGAUGGCGAAGGCAGGUCUCUGGGCCACUACUGACGCUGAGAAGCGAAAGCAUGGGGAGCAAACAGG
rnacentral:rRNA from 1 species